rnacentral:tRNA from 1 species
GGAGAGGUGCCCGGAGUGGUUGAUCGGGGACCAGCGAACGGUCGGGCCCCCUCGGGGGCCCACGCAGGUUCGAAUCCUGCCCUCUCCG